GAUCAUGGCUCAGGAUGAACGCUAGCGACAGGCCUAACACAUGCAAGUCGAGGGGCAGCGGGGAGGUAGCAAUACCUUUGCCGGCGACCGGCGCACGGGUGAGUAACACGUAUGCAAUCCACCUGUAACAGGGGGAUAACCCGGAGAAAUCCGGACUAAUACCCCAUAAUAUGGGCUCUCCGCAUGGAGGGGUUCGUAUUAAAAGUAAGAAGGCAAUUUUAGGUUUACGUAGACGAGCAUGCGCUCCCACUUA
rnacentral:rRNA from 1 species